rnacentral:tRNA from 1 species
GCGGCAGUAGCUCAGUGGUAGAGCCCCCGCUUCACGUGAGGAGAGACCAGGGUUCGAUUCCCGGCUGUUUCC